CUCAUUGCCUGCAGAAGGCCAGGCUUUGGCUGUCUGUGAGCAGCGUGGCUGCAAACUGGGGCUGUAAAACUGUACUUUGUGACCUGAUGGUCUCCAUGGUGUCUCCUGGUGUUCCUGGUGAAAGGACUGUUUUUACGGUCCUUUCACACCUCUCCAGCCUUCCCAGUGCUUGCAUUACUCAAAUGCAGCACCAGACUUCUGGACAAGACAGGCUGCCAAUACCUGGCCACGAUAAGGACACUUCAAUGCCACACACCUGUAUGGCAGUACCGAGACACACGGCACAAGGCUCAUGGUACAUAUCUGGUUAUUCCUCAGAAGUCAUUGGAUAGGUGUUCUGGGAAUUCUGUUGCAGAGUUUAUCCCUCUGUCACAGAUGAUUUUCAGUGCUGGCUGUGGGGGCUGUUGCAUGCAGAGGCUCUGUCAUGCUGCUGGAGCAGCAGGAGUUGGGAGCUUCAGUGAGAGAAAAGUCAAAGAGAAACAUGGAGAGCUCUGAAUUACUGCUUUCCUUGUUGUCUUGUAAUGCCAAAAGCAUCAAGAAACUAUUUAACUUCAGCUGAUGAUGUUUUAGUUAACUUGCAUCUAGCAGUGAUGAUAGAAACAGAAAUGGCACAUGAGAGCACCCUGGCUGUGGAUGGGUGUAAGACAAAGGUUGAUUUAGUGGAGCUGAAUGGGUGGUUUCACCCAUAUUGUUUUGUAUCGUGACACUCACUAAGAAGAUCUCUCAGUUCUCUGGGCUGAAUUCUGACUUUCCUCUGCUUUUUGUAGUGCUAUAAUGUCACAAAAGUACUUUUUCAUUUCAGAAGAACCAUGACAAGCUGGGAAAAUCUUGGUUUGGGAGAUUGCAACCUCCUUCGUUAUUUUCUAUUUUAACAUCUCGAUGUAAAGGUGAGAAUCUUAUUCUGUGUCACAUUUCAGUAAAACUCUGUGCUUUCUAAGGGAAGAAGUA
rnacentral:lncRNA from 1 species